CUAGUGGCAACCAUUGUAACUAA
rnacentral:snRNA from 1 species